UCCCUGUUCGUAUAGUGGUCAGUAUCUCCGCCUGUCACGCGGAAGACCGGGGUUCAAUUCCCCGACAGGGAG